ensembl:lncRNA
GCCACCUAUCACUGGCAGCAAGUCCAAGAUGGUUUACAGCACAGGAGACCCCCAGCCAUCCAGACUUUAGACUUGCACUGAUGCAGAGCUGGGACCACGUGUUUGACGACUGACGACAUCAGUUCAGUGCUUCUUCUAGGCCCACCUGGAUUGCCGGCUGGCUCAGAACGGAGCAGAUAGGAGGAAAUAACAAGAUGACGGGAAAUGAGGAGCACACAACAAAGGUCAGAGGCCAAACACAAACAGAGGAAGGCACCAGCAUCUUAACCCCUAAACCACCAGGAUGUCCCAGGUCCUGAGAAUGAGCUCCUAUUGUGCAGAGAGGCGAUCCAGUUACAAAGGACUGAAAAACGAGUGUGAGAAAAACAGAGACCAACAGACUGCCAGAAGAAGAAAAAAAAAGAUUUGUUUUUAUUUCAAAGCUGCAAACAAUAUGUAACACACGAUCUCGCAGUAGUGCCCUGAUCUGGCAAAUCUUUCGGAACAUUUUUUAGCUCACAGUUUUGUUUUCUGCUUUGUAUGAAACAAUAAACAUAGUCACUGCUGGCACCGACUUUGUUGUCAUUUUGGAAAACAUAACAAUUCUGAGAUCCAAGAGUGGUGGAGGCGAUGAACUGAGGUUACAGUGUUUAGCAAUGAUAGAAUAUCAUAUUUGUUGUGCCACGAAGUCCUGAUGUAACCGAGACCUUAUUUUUCUUAAAAAGUGAUUCAUGCUGACACGUUCGGUGAUUUACAAAUUCAAAGGCCUCUGCAGUAAAGCUGUGACCACAGUGGUCAGUGCUGUACAUCUGGAGCGAGAGAUGAAGAAAGGUUUGACAUCUAAAAAUAAUAAAGAAAAAGAAACCAGCAAUGCAAAAAGUCUUGUGUUUGUCUGGUUUCAUUCCUCCACUGCAAUGAAUUGUAAUUGAUGUUUUUAACAGAUACUAAAUAUAGCUGCAAACAGCAAUGAUGGGACCAAGCAACUUAGCAGAGCUCCUGGUUGCCAUGUUAGCUCAAUAUGACAGUGAGGUCUAUCAAUUUAACAAUAAUCAAUAAAUACUCUUCUAAACAAUGUUUUUAUUACAUGAACAAAAGUCUGCUAAACAAAAUGAACACAACACUUUCCCCCUUUAUCAGGUGUUAAUGUGGAGAAUUAGAGACCCAAACUAACAAAAAACUUCAUGCGCUGCUUUCUGUCAUGAAACCUAAAAUUCAUCCAAAGUGAGAUUCUAAGAACUGAAGUUCUCAGAAGCUGAAUAUGAUGUUGUUGAAGCGACAGCAGAAGUGGGCUUCCUCUUUUCUCUCGGGGGAUUUGUGGGU